UCGCGACGCUGCUCUGCCCCGCCUCCGCUUUUCGCCUUUACCGCCGGCGCCGAUGCCAGCAACCGCGCUCGCCGCCCCGCUUCGCGACAAGGCGCGGAAACCGCCCAGCCGCGCGCCUUGACCACCCCGAGACCCCAAAACCCUAGCUACCACGUGCGCCGCGCCGUGCGAUGGCCGCCACGCGUCCACGCGCGCGUCCCCGGGCCGGACCGUCGAUCCUCGACGUCCGUGCCCAAGCUGAGACCUAGAAGCGCCUAUAAAACCCCCCAAUCGACCUCUCCAAACCCUAGCCUCCUAUCCUCUCGCCUCAAUCGAGCGCCGCCGCCACCAAAUCGAGAAAACAGAGGAGGGCGGAAGGAGAGCAGGAAGAGGAGAGCUCGGAGCCAAGGAAGAAGAAGGGGAUAGGAGCUGAAGAGGAGGACGACUGCCGCCGCGGCCCGACGACGCCGGCCAACACCAGGCCAAGGAGGGAGGUGGAGACGCCGCCGCCACCACGUCAAGCGUGCAGAGGAGGAGGACGCCAUCGCCGGGGGCUUCCUCACACCUGCGCCGAACGACGACACCGGCGCAGCGGUUCUCCCUGCACUGCUACGAGCCACCGGCCUCGACUCACCACCGCGUCACGCCUGACCUCCACGAGCCUGCCGGCCCUUAGCGAGGAGGAGCUGAUCGACGCCUCAGACACCCAGAGGACCCAGGAGGACGUCCCGAACUACGAGAAGACUCCGAAGACCUAGAACGACUAUGAGAAGUCUCAGGUUCACGCCCAUCUAUGAUUUGAUUACCUAUUAGACAUUGCUUGCUAGAACUGCUAUCGCUUUAUUACUGUUAUGAGAUGAACCUGCAUAGCCAAUUGUGUGCCCUUAUUCCUUGAACUCCUAAUAUAAACCAUGUUGAAUGGUUGAUAUGCUUGCAUGUGUAUGUGUGGGAUUUCCUCGUGAUAUGAUAGUCUUGGCGUGAGUGGAGAUCCACCAUAUCAGGAGUUGGUGAUUAGGGUUUUUAGCUGGGGGCGAGCAAGUUGACUUUGCUAGGGGUGUGUGUUGGGCACACCCUAUGAGCACUUGUUGCGGGUGCACGUUGGUGUCAUUGGACACGAUUAGACUCUUGAGGUGUUUUGUGGGGCCUUACCUGUAAUGGGUGCCAUUCGCGGACCGUUGCGACGGAUACGCAUGAGGACGGGGAUGCUCGCCCCGGCAUAUAAGGAACCGGUUGGUGUAGCUAUGAUUAGUGGGACUUUGUGAGCGUGCACACCACUUAUCCACUAUGCGGGUGGAUCCAGUUCGAGGCUAGUAAGUGUGGUACCAAGCCUGUAGGCGGAUGUAGUAUCGGUGCAGGGGGAGCAGGUGUGGACCUGACGUUCCCCGAUUCGCGGGAUUCAUGGGAAUCCUAUUCUAGAUGGCUUCACAGUCUCGGGGCGACCUCUUGCGAAAGAACGAGCCCAAACCCAGGAAAGCAAGAUGGUGCCAUGGCUACUAGUUCUUGUUCUCAGUAGACCGGUGUCUCGUUGUCUGUCGGCUGGCCUCUGGCUGGCAGUGAUUCGAGUGGGUCCAGGUGUACAACCCAUGCAGGGUGAAAUCUAUACGUAUAGCCACGUACUCGGCCAUGUACAUUCCUACUCUUCCGUUACUUCCAUUAGUUAGUGUGCCUUGAUACUUUUCUACCUCCCUCUAGUCUACUUUCCUGCUUGGACAGCAGCUGAGGUGCGAGGAGAGGGAGUUCUCGCACCGACUUGGUUGGAUAUCAGGGACUUGGGUGAGUCUCGGAGGUGUGAGUUGACCGGGAGUCUGAGAUGCCGGAAUGGAGUCCGGGAUGCCGGAAUGGCCCGCGUCAGGUGACUUGGCAGAUGCUAUACUUUGUUGAUGCUACGUUUAGGAAACCUUAGCCUUAUCCGUUGGCUAUUUCUUUAUACCAUAAUGCAUCCACUUAAAAGCUUGCAUACGGAUGGUGACAUGAACCUAUCCCGUCUUUGGGGAUAAUUUGGUAGAUACAGGAUCCGACUCGAAGAUCGACGACGACUUUGAAGGAAGGACUAAGGACGACUCGUGCUUCGCUCAAGUUUGCCUGUGAAGGAAGGACAUCAAGAUGGAGGUUGCCCCAGAAGUCUAGCUACCGCUUCCGUGUUCUGUUUGUUUCCUUUUGGCCCAAUGGGCUUGUAUCUGAAUCUCAUACUACAAUCCGCUGGAUUAUGUAAUAAUUAAACUUUUAUUGUGUUUAAACGCGAAGCAUGACUAUGAUAUGUAAUUGAAAUGAGUUCUGUA